rnacentral:lncRNA from 1 species
ACCCUGCUAUCGGCUGGUCACGUGUCUCCCAGAAUCUGGGAGAUAACAAACAAUUUCAAUUAGGGUGGGUAGCUAAGUAAGUUUUGUCAUUGAGCAAGGAGUGAGCGAAGAAAUAACCCAGAAAUCAUGCAGGAAAUAUUUACAAAAUUGUAUAUUUUAUUUGUCAUGAAGACUAUCAAUGUUACACAACAGUAAAUAUCAAAUUUCAUUGUGCGCAGAAUGUCGGUGAGCAAAGAUAGAUCAGAUUUCAAUAGACAAAUUAUGCCGAUACAGCUCGUCGAAGAAAUCAACACGUCGCAAACGUUACAAGAAAAUAUAUUUCUACACCAGUACCGACCGAUGUGGCUGUUAUUUAGCUGUUGAUGUCUAUCCUAAAGGAUUUAUUUAAUACUGAGAUGUGUAACGAAAUAUAGAGAUCUUUUGAUUUCUGAAAUAUCGCAAACUAUGUUGCUUUGUAAACAAUGCUACUCGGACUGCUGAAACUUCAGAACCAUCCUCAGAGAUACGAAAAACCAGAAUCUGUUGAAACUUGAUGCUCAAGAAAUAUGUCGAAGUAUACCUCCCUGUUAUCAAACCUACGGUAAAAUAAUCCGACAAUAGCCUACUCAAAGAUAAGUCAAAGACUCGUCUGUGCGUGUAUG